rnacentral:rRNA from 1 species
UACGUAUGGUGCAAGCGUUAUCCGGAUUUACUGGGUGUAAAGGGAGCGUAGACGGAUAGGCAAGUCUGAAGUGAAAGCCCGGGGCUCAACCCCGGGACUGCUUUGGAAACUGUUUAUCUAGAGUGCUGGAGAGGUAAGUGGAAUUCCUAGUGUAGCGGUGAAAUGCGUAGAUAUUAGGAGGAACACCAGUGGCGAAGGCGGCUUACUGGACAGUAACUGACGUUGAGGCUCGAAAGCGUGGGGAGCAAAC